UAUAUUAUCUUUCCUAUAUUAGUAGUUUUCUGUCAGUAGACCGCAUAAUAACUUUCACUUACCUCGUAUAUAUAUAUAUAUAAUGUCUGCAAUCUGGACUGUUCACAUAAUCACAUUACACCCAGUAAAAACUUUCUACUGACAAAGUUUAGCACAGUUUGUGAAAUCAGCUAUCUGUUCCUUUUUUUAUGACAACAAACUAUCUGUUCCUUAAUAUAACUAUAGAAGUACAUGUAAUAUUAAUACUGAUUAUUGAAUACAUUUAUCUUGCUCAUUGAAGCAUUAUCCUUUGUCUUUUAUACAUUGUAUGCUUUUUUUUUUCCAUGGUUACUGUUUCUCAUUGAAGCAUUAUCCUUUGUCUUUGUAUGCUUUUUUUUUCCAUGGUUACUUGUUGGGUUUAGGCAGAAUAUUCGAUUAUGUUAUAGCAAAUGCUAAAAAGAUAAUACGAAUUAACAACAAGGUUACAAGACAGUUUAUCUGUGGUUCGCUAAUAAUGUGUUAAUAUAGUUACUUCAAAAGCAAUUUUAUUUAGUUUUGAGAAUGCCUAGCUAGACUGCCUGCUGCACGCAACUCAAAAAGAGUUUAUAUGAUACUCUUAGGGGUCGUUUGGUUCAAAAUAAGGAAUGGAAAGGGAAUGGAAUGAGAUGAAAGGAUGGAAUGGAAAUGGAAUGUGUUACUUUAGACACUUGUUUGUUUUGAUGUAGAAAUGGAAUCAUUGGCCUAAUGACUCCCUUACUUUUUGUUUCCUAUGGUGUGAGGAGGGUUUCAAGAUGGGGGAAUCAAAAUUGGGCUAGUAAGGGAGUGAAAAAAAUGGAUCACCCAACCAAACAUAAAAUAAGGAAGUGUUUUACCUCAAUCCGUUUCCAAGCCUAAAAUAUUUCCAACCAAACGGAGCCUUAGAAUACAUAUGUAAGCCUAAAUAAAAAUAUAAGUCCAAUUCAUGUUGAAUCACUUGAAGUGCGAUAUUUAAGGCAUCCCAGCAUAGAACUAAGAACUCAUAUUAAGUACAUAUGUUUCUUAAUAGAUGCAUCAUAUUGACUCCGCAUACUUGCAAAUGCAUAUAUUUAUAGAUUAGUAAUUAAAGAUGGUCAAAGUUGACAUCUAAAUAGUGUAAAAAGUCAAUAUGAUGCAUCUAUUAGUAAAACAAAGGGAUAACGUGUAAUUACCAAUAGUAGUUCUAUAAGAUCUCAAAUUUUUGUUUUAUAGUAAAGAGAUUGACCAGUUAAAUCAGAUGCUUCCCAAGAUAACCCUUACUACUUGGCUAAUACUGAACCCCUUAAACCACAAUGCGAAGGAUAUGUCAUUUUGUCAUCUAAGUUUACCACCAUCAUCUUUGCUUUUUCCGUCGAGUCCGGAUUCUCUAGAGUUUUAGUCUAACACUGUCACAACUCACACAGUCUUGCAACAACAGUUUGUGCAUAAUCAAAAUCCAAAAACAACAACACUUUGAACUGCAUAUAUUUAAUAAUGUAAUCUCUUCACCUCACUAGUGAGUUUUUUUAAGGGCCAAAUAUCAUUUUAGAAAGUGUACUAUUUCUUUCAAAUAUGUGGUAUUAAUUUAAUAAUGCACCUUUUAGGGUGCGUUCUGUUCAACUUAAAAAAUUAAGUUUCAGGUCCAAUAAGUUCAGAUAAGUUCAGAUAAGUUCAGAUAAGUUGCAAUAAGGUCUAAUAAGUGCAAUAAAUUCCAAUAAGGUCUAAUAAGGUCCAAUAAGUUCCAAUCAGGUGCAAUAAGUUCCAAUCAGGUCUAAUAAGGUCCAAUAAGUUCCAAUCAGGUCUAAUAAGGUCCAAUAAGGUCCAAAUAGUCAAUGUUUAAUAAACAUUUGUAUUAUUGUCCACUAUUUUGUUAUUCAUAAUUUCAUAUCACUAUUAGCGGAUUAUGUUAUUAUUAGAAUUUUAAUUAAAGUACCACAAUGAUUAUAUAGUAUUAUACUUGUAUUAGUGUCUAUUAUUUUAUUAUUUAUUUGUAUUAUGUCUAUUAUUUUAUUAUUUAUUUGUAUUAUGUCUAUUA